rnacentral:rRNA from 1 species
GCCAGACUCCUACGGGAGGCAGCAGUGAGGAAUAUUGGUCAAUGGGCUUACGCCUGAACCAGCCAAGUCGCGUGAGGGAAGACUGCCCUAUGGGUUGUAAACCUCUUUUGCCGGGGGACAAACGGCGGCACGCGUGCCGUCCUGAGGGUACCCGGAGAAAAAGCAUCGGCUAACUCCGUGCCAGCAGCCGCGGUAAUACGGAGGAUGCGAGCGUUAUCCGGAUUUAUUGGGUUUAAAGGGUGCGUAGGCGGGAUGCCAAGUCAGCGGUAAAAUGCGGGGGCUCAACCUGCGUCCGCCGUUGAAACUGGCGUUCUUGAGUGGGCGAGAAGUACGCGGAAUGCGUGGUGUAGCGGUGAAAUGCAUAGAUAUCACGCAGAACCCCGAUUGCGAAGGCAGCGUACCGGCGCCCAACUGACGCUGAAGCACGAAGGCGUGGGUAUCGAACAGGAUUAGAUACCCCAGUAA